rnacentral:lncRNA from 1 species
CUGCUGGUAGAGGUUUCCAGUUUGGGAACUACUUCUGGUGGGAUUACAUCAGAAUCUGCACUGCGCCUCAGAUAAGUAACUUAGGACCUUUCUGCCUGUCUUCAUCUGUCUGCCUCCAUCAUGACCUUUCAGCACUAAACGUGAGAAGUACUGAAGAACAUCUCAGCCACACCUCAGACUGCUUUCCUGCUGGCUGGCACGCUGAAAGGUCCUCAGCAAAUAGCCGAGGCAUUGCUUCAUUUGUUGGGAAGACCUUGUGUGGUGCAGGUGUUCUUGGGAACGUGAUGAGAAGUAGAAGGGGAGAGACAGGGAUGGCCAAGGGCCAGAAUGCGUCACUGGAAUCUACCAAAGGAGAAAUCCCCGGUUCUUACCUCGGGUCUGGCAUGAGAGUUCCUCCAAGUUACAUAGAUUUCAGUCUGCCUACACGCCAGUAGGAACAUCCAGG